UAAAAAAAUGUUCGGUCAUUUUGAAAGGGGAACAUAUUUUACUCAGCCACAGACAACCCAUAGACAUUUCAGGGUUUUGUCAUGUGCAAAGUGCGUGACAUUCGGCCAACACACGAUAUCAAAUAUAAUAUAUACAUAACUUUAUUUGCAAAAAGUAAAACCCACAUGGAUUAAAAUGCAAACUUAAGAGACAUAUACACAAGAAACAUACCC
rnacentral:lncRNA from 1 species